AAUAGAUACCCGGGUAGUCCACGCCGUAAACGAUGAGUGCUAAGUGUUAGAGGGUUUCCGCCCUUUAGUGCUGCAGCUAACGCAUUAAGCACUCCGCCUGGGGAGUACGGCCGCAAGGCUGAAACUCAAAGGAAUUGACGGGGGCCCGCACAAGCGGUGGAGCAUGUGGUUUAAUUCGAAGCAACGCGAAGAACCUUACCAGGUCUUGACAUCCUCUGCUAACCCUAGAGAUAGGGCGUUCCCCCUUCGGGGGGACAGAGUGACAGGUGGUGCAUGGUUGUCGUCAGCUCGUGUCGUGAGAUGUUGGGUUAAGUCCCGCAACGAGCGCAACCCUUGAUCUUAGUUGCCAGCAUUUAGUUGGGCACUCUAAGGUGACUGCCGGUGACAAACCGGGAGGAAGGUGGGGAUGGACGUCAAAUCAUCAUGCCCCUUAUGACCGUGGGCUACACACGUGCUACAAUGGAUGGUACAAAGAGCUGCGAACCCGCGAGGGUAAGCCAAUCUCAUAAAGCCAUUCUCAGUUCGGA
rnacentral:rRNA from 1 species